CGGAGAGUUGCAGGUGCUGAGGAGGUCGGAGCUGGCGUUCGGGUAUCGUUGGUCUGCGUUCCAAGACAUGAAGGAUUUAGCUGCGAUCGUAGCGGUCACGUUUCGAUUGACGCCCAGCACCGCGGCAACAGAGCGUCAGAGGGCGUUCCUGGAGAGGUAAGAACAAGAACUCAGUUCCAAGACCCAGUUGUCUAUCAUCUCUUACAGCCGGACCAGUUCCAAAUGUCAAACUGUAGGCGUAGAAGAACUCAACCGAUCGGAGAACGUAGUGCUGGAUCGGUGUUUCGUAACCCUUCGGGUGCAGAAAUGUCAGCGGGAAGGCUGAUUGAGUUGGCAGGACUCAAAGGUUUCGCCGUGGGAGGUGCGAAGGUUUCCAACGUUCAUGCAAAUUUCUUCGUCAAC
rnacentral:lncRNA from 1 species